rnacentral:rRNA from 1 species
CGUGGGUAACCUGCCUUAUGGAGGGGGAUAACAGAGAGAAAUCACUGCUAAUACCGCAUAAGCACACAUUGUCGCAUGGCAGAGUGUGAAAAGAUUUAUCGCCAUAAGAUGGACCCGCGUCUGAUUAGCCAGUUGGCAGGGUAAAAGCCUACCAAAGCAACGAUCAGUAGCCGAUCUGAGAGGAUGACCGGCCACAUUGGGACUGAGACACGGCCCAA